UGAGUAACACGUGGGCAAUCUGCCCCUCGCAGGGGGACAACCGGGGGAAACCCCGGCUAAUACCCCGUAAGCUCCAGGGACCGCAUGGCCCUUGGAGGAAAGGUAGCUUCGGCAUCCGGCGAGGGAUGAGCCCGCGGUGCAUUAGCUAGUUGGUGGGGUAACGGCCUACCAAGGCGACGAUGCAUAGCUGGUCUGAGAGGAUGAUCAGCCACACUGGGACUGAGACACGGUCCAGACUCAUACGGGAGGCAGCAGUCGGGAAUCUUGCGCAAUGGGCGAAAGCCUGACGCAGCAACACCGUGUGUGUGACGAAGGCCUUCGGGUCGUAAAGCACUGUUGUUGGGGACGAAGGGCGAAGGGUUAAUAGCCCCGAGCUUGACGGUACCCUUCGAGGAAGCCCCGGUAACUACGUGCCAGCAGCCGCGG
rnacentral:rRNA from 1 species